rnacentral:rRNA from 1 species
UGGGUUGAUCAGUGGCGAACGGGUGAGUAACACGUGAGUAACCUGCCCCAGACUCCGGGAUAAGCCUUGGAAACGAGGUCUAAUACUGGAUACGAGACGCCCCUGCAUGGGGAGUGUCUGGAAAGAUUUAUCGGUCUGGGAUGGACUCGCGGCCUAUCAGCUUGUUGGUGGGGUAAUGGCCUACCAAGGCGACGACGGGUAGCCGGCCUGAGAGGGCGACCGGCCACACUGGGACUGAGACACGGCCCAGACUCCUACGGGAGGCAGCAGUGGGGAAUAUUGCACAAUGGGCGAAAGCCUGAUGCAGCGACGCCGCGUGAGGGAUGAAGGCCUUCGGGUUGUAAACCUCUUUCAGCAGGGAAGAAGCGCAAGUGACGGUACCUGCAGAAGAAGCGCCGGCUAACUACGUGCCAGCAGCCGCGGUAAUACGUAGGGCGCAAGCGUUGUCCGGAAUUAUUGGGCGUAAAGAGCUCGUAGGCGGUUUGUCGCGUCUGGUGUGAAAACUCAAGGCUCAACCUUGAGCUUGCAUCGGGUACGGGCAGACUAGAGUGCGGUAGGGGUGACUGGAAUUCCUGGUGUAGCGGUGGAAUGCGCAGAUAUCAGGAGGAACACCGAUGGCGAAGGCAGGUCACUGGGCCGCAACUGACGCUGAGGAGCGAAAGCAUGGGGAGCGAACAGGAUUAGAUACCCUGGUAGUCCAUGCCGUAAACGUUGGGCACUAGGUGUGGGGCUCAUUCCACGAGUUCCGUGCCGCAGCAAACGCAUUAAGUGCCCCGCCUGGGGAGUACGGCCGCAAGGCUAAAACUCAAAGGAAUUGACGGGGGCCCGCACAAGCGGCGGAGCAUGCGGAUUAAUUCGAUGCAACGCGAAGAACCUUACCAAGGCUUGACAUACACCGGAAACUUCCAGAGAUGGUUGCCCCGCAAGGUCGGUGUACAGGUGGUGCAUGGUUGUCGUCAGCUCGUGUCGUGAGAUGUUGGGUUAAGUCCCGCAACGAGCGCAACCCUCGUCUUAUGUUGCCAGCACGUCAUGGUGGGGACUCAUAAGAGACUGCCGGGGUCAACUCGGAGGAAGGUGGGGAUGACGUCAAAUCAUCAUGCCCCUUAUGUCUUGGGCUUCACGCAUGCUACAAUGGCCGGUACAAAGGGCUGCGAUACCGCGAGGUGGAGCGAAUCCCAAAAAGCCGGUCUCAGUUCGGAUUGGGGUCUGCAACUCGACCCCAUGAAGUCGGAGUCGCUAGUAAUCGCAGAUCAGCAACGCUGCGGUGAAUACGUUCCCGGGCCUUGUACACACCGCCCGUCAAGUCACGAAAGUCGGUA